rnacentral:rRNA from 1 species
AUGGCGAUCAAGCUUAUACUAGUAGCCUUUUUCUUGCUCAUCCUGGCCUUUGUUGAGUCCAACGACAGGGGCGAACCUCCAUCUUCUCAAGAAAAUGCUUUUCAUACAAGCGCUUAUGCGGUUCAUUGGGAUCCACCUGCUGAGGGAAAUAGUUUUGGUGAAAAUGCUUAUGCGGUUCAUUGGAUCCUCCUUGUCGUAAAAAAAGAUGGCUUUGGUGAAAGUGUGUAUGCGAUACAUUGGGAUCCCCCUUCAAAAGAAGGAGGUUAUGGGGCAAGUCCUUAUAAGGUGAAUUGGAGCCCAGAAGAUGCACCUUCCAAAUUAAAAGGUUUUGGGGCAAGUGCUUAUGCGGUACACUGGGAUCCAUAUCAUCCACCAUAUGAAGAACAAGGUUCUGGGACAAGUUCUGAUAAGGCGACUUGGAGCCCAGAAGAUGCACCUUCAAAAGAAAAAGGAUUUGGUUCAAGUGCUUAUAAGGUAACUUGGAGCCCAGAUGAUGCACCUUCUGAAGAGAAAGGAUUUGGUGCAAGUGCUUAUGCAGUACAUUGGGAUCCAGAUCAUCCACCUGUUGAAAAAACUGCGCCUGAUAGCAAUAGCCAUGUGUCAUAUGAACACAUCUGA